GCUACGCUGGCGGCGUGUCUUAGCCAUGCAAGUCGAGCGGACUUAUGGGGUAACUUAUAAGUCAGCGGCGGACGGCGGAGUAACACGUAGCUAACCUACCCUCUGGACGGGGAUAACCUACCGAAAGGUGGGCUAAUACCCGAUGUAGUCAUCCUGUAUAGGGGUGAUGAAAGGUGGGCUUCUGUUUACAAGCUCAUGCUGGAGGAGGGGGCUGCGGCCUAUCAGGUAGUUGGUAGGGUAAUAGCCUACCAAGCCGAUGACGGGUAGCCGGCCUGAGAGGGUGACCAGCCCGAGGGGCACUGAGAUACGGGUCCCACUCCUACGGGAGGCAGCAGGCUAGAAAUUUGGGCAAUGGGGGAAACCCUGACCCAGUGACGCCGCGUGCAGGAAGGAGCCCUUCGGGGUGUAAACUGCUGUCGUGUAGGGAGAAGGGUACUAAGGUGAACAAUCUUAGUACUUGACGGUACUACAGGAGGAAGCCCAGGCUAACCUCGUG
rnacentral:rRNA from 1 species